AGGCCAAAAAUUAGAAGACUUGUACAGAGGAAGAAGAUGAUCUAAAUUGAAGAGGCUCAAUCAAUGGAAGGUAAUCACUGAGGUUAAACAUUUUUCUAAUUUUGCUUAGUCAUUUGAAGCUCACAAAUAAGUGAAUUGUUUUUUUAAAUUUGGUUGAAAUCGAUCAUUGGUGUUGUCUUCAAGCGAAAACUAUUAAAUUUUACAUCAAAUUUCCUGAAUUUUGCAUCAAGUGAAUAACGUUUGUCUCAAAUGCGAUUCAUUUGGAUAACCAAUGCAAUAGACAUUGUUCUCAAGCUUGCAUAUUACAUUUGAGUUUGUUUGUCUUCAUUAUAUGUUUGCUUGGGUAUCAACACAGAUUUUAAUAUAAUAUUUAGGAGUCGAAAAAUGCUGAAUAGUAGUUACUUCUCGGUCAUCUGCAUUUUAUAACAUGACCACUAUGACCAUAUUGUUACUUUGUUUUCCUUAUUCGUCUUUCCUCUGCUUAUGUAAUACUCUCAUUUCUUUGUUUCGUUGAAAACUCAAGACAUCCCGGCUGCUUCUCAAUCAUCCCUGCUGCUUCUCAAUCUAAUAUCUCAAAUUGCUCCCUCCGUUGAGCUUUUUUUUGAAAGCUUAAAAUUGAUUUGAUUGCUGGUUCCUACUUGCUUGCUGCCUGUCAAUCCAAUACCGCUAAUUUUCAAAGCCUAAAAUUAUUGUUAAUUUCCUAUUUGAACCUGCUUCUCAAUUAUCCUACUUGAUUCCUGCUUCUCGAUUCCAUACCUCAAAUUACUGCUUCUCUACUCAUUUCAGGUUGUUGUUAUCAACAUUUUUGAGUUUAUAGGGUCUCCAAACAUCAGACUAUUACCGAGGUAAUAAUAUUGCUGUGCUUAUCUACAUGUUCCCGUUUUUGUUAAAGAAAGAAGGCAUAUUAGAUGCAAUUUCCUUAUGUCUCCAUGUUUUUUGGAGGGUGAUUAAUUACUUUUAUUUUUAAUUCUUGCUGUAGGAAUCUACUUCAAUAUUCUUUUACACAAUGUUAAGUUUCGUUCCUUGAUUUGAAAUUAUUAAAGAUUCUUACUAAAUAAUGGUUUCCUUCGCAACCGGAACAGAAAAUUUUCAUGUCCAAAUCAACAUACAGUAUAACCUCUUUCAAUUAAUGGCCUUGGGACUACCUUAAUUUUAUAAAAAAUUAAUUAACUUAGAGAUUAUCAACUUACCCAGUCCUUAAUUUAGCAUGUCCAUCCCAAGUUGGGCCCAGAAAAUUUUAUUAACUUAGAGAGAUUGUUAACAAAUCGAGUAUUAAUUUAAAGAGGUUCUACUGUGUAUAUAUAUAUAUCAUCAGAUAGUGUAGCAACUCCAACUGAAGUGGACACAAAUAAUAUGGAAAAGUCAGAUUACUAUGAUCACAUCCUUGGUCCAUACGUAGAACAAUUUUGGAUAAAAUUUGUUUCGUGAGUAAUAUGAGGUUUCAGUUUAAACUGCAAAAACUUGUGUUGUGGUACUGUUUAUUACAUUAUGCUAUUUUGUUGUGUACACAUCAGGGAAGAGGCCAUUUUUUUUUCCAGCUUAUUUAUAUUUUGUUUUUAUAAUACGUCUUUUUUGCAUUCUAUUUAUGACCUGUUCUGUUCAGUUGUGGUAAUGUUUAUUAUAUUUCUUUGGUAGCAGUUGAUUCUUGAAAAUAUUAAACGCAUUCAAGCUUCUCCUUCAAUUAUGAAUUAGGCUCUUAUGUUCCUACUGUUAUGCUUGGAAGGUGAAGACCCUUAAGAAGAAAUUUAUAAGGUAUGUUGCUUUCCUUUAUCAUGUUUAAGUAUUACACAUGGAUUUUUUUAAUGAACAUCCAGGAUAUUGUUUGCUGAUUAUUUUACCAUUGAGUUGUUUCCAAGUGUUCCACACACGUGGUACAGGUAGCAAACUGUAUAGAUUGCUACCUAGCAAUCAUGUAUUCAAUGCUGCCCAAGCUUUGAUAAUGCAAACAUGAUCAUGGCCUUCAACCAAAGAUGACACAUUUGCCUGCUUAGUCCACAGUAAUUGUUUCCACACUUCUCUAAUUACUCAACACAAAAAUAACAGAUGCUCAACAGUUUCAACUGUUCUUUUACACCAUACACACUUCACAUUAGUCGUUUUAAAUGGAACAAAUCUUUUCUAAUUACUAUGCAAUAGUAUUCGUCUCUCAAAAUAACUUUUUUUGUCAGUUAAUUAUAAGAUUUAACACAUACCUUCUUUAAAUGUAAGCGUGUGUGCCUUUAAAAAUGUCAACACUAUCACUAAUGAUAUUUCCUCCAAAGGGUGGAUUCAGAAAUUAUAAGAAUAAAGUGGCCUUUUUAGGCAAGGCUGUUAAUACUCAUAAAUGGCUUACCUACGUCUAUCCACAAAGGACAUAGAUACCACUUACACAUCGCAAAUAAUAUGAUAGCAUUUUUUCGAGUACUCAUUGUAUUGCACGGUACUGCUAAUGUAAUGCAGAGUCUACCAUAUUAGAAGUUUACAAUAACAACAAUUUAGAACUUCUCAUAACAAAACUCCAGCCCUGAGAUUGCUCUUUUCUGGUGCGUAGUCCAUCUAUAUAUCUAACUACCAUAUGUUCUAAUAUGUGUCAACUCUUCAUCCAUCUUUCUUUCUAUAUUAUUUUAUUUAUUUCUUUCUUUGUAAUCAUUGCUUUCUCUCUCAUAUAUUGAUUUCUUUCUUAAAAGGCGAAGUUUCUCCUUGCUGUGCAUACUUACUGCUUUCAAAAAAAUAUCUUUCGGAAGGAACUCAACAAUCCGGUAAAUAUCUAUUUAUUUUUCUUUAUUGAUUCUGAUGUGUUUUUUGUGCCAUUGUGUCCAUUCCUAUGCUUUGCGUUUGUGUUCAAUAUUCGCAAAAGCAGUUAAAGUCAACAAAUGCUUAUGAAGGUUCUGGUUAAUAAAAUUAAACAAUGGCAUUUUGUUUUUCCAGUUUGAUCCUCCCAUUUGAUUGAUCUCGCUGCGUUUUUUUCUUCUAAGCCUAAGAAAUUUUAGAUUUUUUCUGAGAUAUCAAAUAUGAUCAGAUUAAUAAAAUCAUUUUGUAUUUGGGUUAUAUCUUUGUGCUAUUUUUCGUGCAUAAAUCUAAAUGCCUUCCUAUAGGCAGUCUGGACUACAUACUACAAAAACUGAUUAUAAGCUGGUUUUGGCAUCUACGUACAUUUUUUCUUGGAAAAUGUCAUCAACAAUUAAUUCAUAUAGUAUUGUUAGCUUCAGUUUGAAAACAUGCAUUUGAUGCAUAAACCUUUAAGGCAGACAAAAUACGGAUAAGAACAUACGGCUCUUUUUCAACCAUUCUCUUUCCAUCUCCUGCGACAUUUUCCGUACUUUAUUAUGUCAUUCGUAAAUUGCUAACUAUUCUUUUCUACUUUUAAGUUGCUAGAAAUAUUUGCAUUCUAACCGACAUUUAUCAUGUUAACUGAAAUUUUUGCACUAUUUUUUUUUCACUUGCUCUAGGAGAUCCAGCUCAUUGUGUGUUCUUUUUUGUAUAUAUAUCUCUUCACACAGUGCUAUGUAGUCCUAUGACAUACCCAUUUUAUGAGGCCAUCAUUGUUGGAACUGCAACAGAUAGUGUUUUUGUUGCAUCUGACGUGGAAGACCUGGACAACAUUGCAGAGACAAAAGGUAUUUGUUGUUUGACGUUUGUGUUGUUUAUGAGCACAUGUCUCCUGCAGAUUCCUGAUUGUUGAAUUUAUCUGGUGGUGGAGGCAAGGAAUUGGCGCAUUCAACAGAAGAACAUUAAGCCAACCUAAACUAGAGGCAGGAAGCUCAUCUGUUCAAAAUGAAGCUCAGGAUGUAGAGCAGCAGCCGUUGGUGACACAAAGAUCCAGACGUGUCUCUUUUCGAUCCGAUUCUAUUAAAGAAAGCUUCAGAAAUGGAUGAUGCCAACCCU
rnacentral:lncRNA from 1 species